rnacentral:rRNA from 1 species
GACGAACGCUGGCGGCGUGCUUAACACAUGCAAGUCGAACGGACAGGCCCUGCUUUUGCGGGGUGCUCGAGUGGCGAACGGGUGAGUAACACGUGAGUAACAUGCCCUUGACUUUGGGAUAACUUCAGGAAACUGGGGCUAAUAUAGGAUAUGAGCUACUGAUGCACGGUGGGGGAUGGUAAGUUACGGCGGUUGGGGAUGUACUUGAGGCUUAUGCGCUUGUUGGUGUGGUAGUGGAUUACAAAGGCUAUGACGGGUAGCCAGCCUGAGAGGGUGACCGGCUACAUUGUGACUGGGGUACCACCCGGACUCCUACGUGCGGCAGCAGCGGGGACCAUACCACAAUGCGCGGAGUGCGGAAGGAGCAACUCCGCGUGCGGAAUGUCGGCCUUCGGGUUGGAAACCGCUUUCACCUGUGACGAAGCGUGAGUGACGGUAAUGGGUAAAGAAGCACCGGUUAACUCCGG